rnacentral:rRNA from 1 species
CAGCAGCCACGGGAAUACGGAGGGUGCAAGCGUUAAUCGGAAUUACUGGGCGUAAAGCGCACGCAGGCGGUUUGUUAAGUCAGAUGUGAAAUCCCCGAGCUUAACUUGGGAACUGCAUUUGAAACUGGCAAGCUAGAGUCUUGUAGAGGGGGGUAGAAUUCCAGGUGUAGCGGUGAAAUGCGUAGAGAUCUGGAGGAAUACCGGUGGCGAAGGCGGCCCCCUGGACAAAGACUGACGCUCAGGUGCGAAAGCGUGGGGAGCAAACAGGAUUAGAUACCCGGGUAGUCCCUGUCUCUUAUAC